CUUGCUCUGAUUUGGUCAGCGGCGGACGGGUGAGUAACACGUGGGCAACCUGCCCGCAAGACCGGGAUAACUCCGGGAAACCGGAGCUAAUACCGGAUAACACCGAAGACCGCAUGGUCUUUGGUUGAAAGGCGGCCUUUGGCUGUCACUUGCGGAUGGGCCCGCGGCGCAUUAGCUAGUUGGUGAGGUAACGGCUCACCAAGGCGACGAUGCGUAGCCGGCCUGAGAGGGUGACCGGCCACACUGGGACUGAGACACGGCCCAGACUCCUACGGGAGGCAGCAGUAGGGAAUCUUCCGCAAUGGGCGAAAGCCUGACGGAGCGACGCCGCGUGAGCGAAGAAGGCCUUCGGGUCGUAAAGCUCUGUUGUGAGGGACGAAGGAGCGCCGUUCGAAGAGGGCGGCGCGGUGACGGUACCUCACGAGGAAGCCCCGGCUAACUACGUGCCAGCAGCCGCGGUAAUACGUAGGGGGCGAGCGUUGUCCGGAAUUAUUGGGCGUAAAGCGCGCGCAGGCGGUUCCUUAAGUCUGAUGUGAAAGCCCACGGCUCAACCGUGGAGGGUCAUUGGAAACUGGGGGACUUGAGUGCAGGAGAGGAGAGCGGAAUUCCACGUGUAGCGGUGAAAUGCGUAGAGAUGUGGAGGAACACCAGUGGCGAAAGCCGGCUCUCUGGCCUGCAACUGACGCUGAGGCGCGAAAGCGUGGGGAGCAAACAGGAUUAGAUACCCUGGUAGUCCACCGCCGUAACGAUGAGUGCUAAGUGUUAGAGGGGUCACACCCGUUUAGUGCUGCAGCUACGCGAUAAGCACUCCGCCUGGGGGAGUACGGCCGCAAGGCUGAAACUCAAGGAAUGACNGGGNCCCGCACAGCGGGUCGGAGCAUGUGGNNAUUCGAGCACCGC
rnacentral:rRNA from 1 species